UACGAAGGGUGCAAGCGUUCCUCGGAAUUACUGGGCGUAAAGCGUGCGUAGGUGGUUCGUUAAGUCUGUCGUGAAAGCCCCGGGCUCAACCUGGGAAUGGCGAUGGAUACUGGCGGGCUAGAGUGCGGUAGAGGGGGGUGGAAUUCCCGGUGUAGCAGUGAAAUGCGUAGAGAUCGGGAGGAACAUCAGUUGCGAAGGCGGCCACCUGGACCAGCACUGACACUGAGGCACGAAAGCGUGGGGAGCAAACAGG
rnacentral:rRNA from 1 species